rnacentral:tRNA from 1 species
GGGUAUUUAGCUCAGUGGCAUAAGCACCUGCCUUGCAAGCAGGCGGUCAUGAGUUCAAUCCUUGGUACCGA